GCCCGAGUGGCGGAAUUGGUAGACGCGUUGGAUUCAAAAUCCAAUGCCGCAAGGCGUGCCGGUUCGAUUCCGGCCUCGGGUACCA
rnacentral:tRNA from 1 species